rnacentral:rRNA from 1 species
GAGCGGUCCCUUCGGGGAUAGCGGCGGACGGGUGAGUAACACGUAGGCAACCUGCCUGCAGGAUCGGGAUAACUACCGGAAACGGUAGCUAAGACCGGAUAGCUGGUUUUCUCGCAUGAGAGAAUCAUGAAACGCGGAGUAAUCUGCGGCCUGCAGAUGGGCCUGCGGCGCAUUAGCUAGUUGGUAGGGUAAUGGCCUACCAAGGCGACGAUGCGUAGCCGACCUGAGAGGGUGAUCGGCCACACUGGGACUGAGACACGGCCCAGACUCCUACGGGAGGCAGCAGUAGGGAAUCUUCCGCAAUGGACGCAAGUCUGACGGAGCAACGCCGCGUGAGUGAUGAAGGUUUUCGGAUCGUAAAGCUCUGUUGCCAGGGAAGAACAGCACGGUGAGUAACUGCACCGUGUGUGACGGUACCUGAGAAGAAAGCCCCGGCUAACUACGUGCCAGCAGCCGCGGUAAU